CACUGACAGAUGCAUCUUGUGGAGAUAAAAUUUCCCAAGAUUCUCUUCUCUCCUCUUGCUCACAGGAGUCCUGGUCUGGAAUAUUCCACAUCUGCUCUCACUUUGCCAUGGGCACCCGGACCCUCUGCUGUGUGGCCCUUUGUGUCCUGGUAGCCAAGCACACCAAUGCUGGGGUCAUCCAGAAACCCAGACACAAGGUGACAGAGAUAGGACAAGCAGUGACUCUGGAAUGUGAGCCAAUUUCAAGCCACAACACUCUUUUCUGGUACAAACAGACAUUGGUACAGGGACUGGAAUUGCUGACUUACUUCCACAGCCAAUCUCAAAUAGACGAUGCAGGUUUGCCCAAAGGCCGAUUCUCCGCUAAGAUGCUUAACUCGUCAUUCUCCACUCUGAACAUCCAGCCCUCAGAACCCGGGGACUCGGCCGUGUAUCUCUGUGCCAGCAGCUCAGCCACAGCGCUGCGGCAUCACCCCCUCCCUGUGCAGAAACCUGAUGCUUCCCCUUCUCCCUCCAGCUCCCAGCUGUCCUGA